ACUUAUAAUACUUGAUGGUUGAUGAUGAUGAAUCAUUUUAGAGUGAUGAUUGCCGAUUUGAGCGCCGAUGUUAGCUGAUUGUGAAUCUCCCCUGAAUCUGAAGCAGGUGUUUAGCGAACUGUUAAAAACGGGAUUUGGUCAGGUUUAUUGCUUGAGUGAAAACCCCCUUUGUGGAUUUGAGAUGGCGAGCCACCCAAACUUGAAUUUUGAUUCCUGAACCUGGAAGGAUACAUCUUUGCUGUGACACGUGGACAAUUCGUUGCAUCAAUUAUUCGUUACGUCAACUUUUCUUCAGCUGGGAGGACAUCUCUUUUUUGCAGGACACUUGUUUGAACUGAAACUGGUCCAUUGCUCCAACUUACGUUGAGGUCACUUGUUACACAAGUUAAAAGUGGAACCAACUGGAGUGUUCACAUCCUGAGGUUGGAGGACGUCCUGCUCCAGCUGUUCUUCAGCAGCGGGGAGGACUUCAGAGGCUGUAGAUUCAUGAUGGUCAUGGAUAGGGAUGGGCUGUAGAGAAUUGUGAUUUUUAAAGAGGGGAAUAUUAAUAACAUGAAUUAAACAUGAAUUGAGCUAACAAAACACACCUGGGGAGACUAAUCAAGGGGGAAAACUACAAACUGACUACAAACAUGGCACAGGAAACACUUCAACAUCACUUCAACAAGUCCAGACAUGACACAGGGAACAUAAAACACUUCUGAUGCCUGACACCAAUUUUCUUUUGACCCAGGACCUUUUAGUAGCGGGAAUCUUACAGGAGGUUCUUGAUAGGAAAAACAUAUCAGCAUAACAGGGAUCAAUGAACCAUUUCACAUUUGUGGGGUUUUCAGAAGAGGUCAUAGUUGGAUAAACUUUGAAGAGCACACUUGAAUAAACUUCUUGUCACCCCUAAAA